UCAGAAUCUGAAACUAAAAUUUAGUUUUAGCUGUAUUGUCACCUUGUUUUUUCUUUUCGGAGAUAUGUAGUUUAGGUCAGCUUAGUAAUAUCCAGAAUUUACACAUGUAAAAUUUAGCAGGAUUUUAAGAUAUACCGAUAUUCUCAAGAAAGUAUGAAAUAAAUGACAAAUUAAUGAAAAUUAAUGAUAAAAUAAUACUAACAAUAAUCAUGGAGAGCACUGAUCUUAUUUUCCUUGAAAUACCAAAGAAUUGGCACAAUGAUGGGACUUUUUUUAGAUUAAAUGAUCUAAAUAAUUGCUUCAGUCUUCCAUUAUGCUUUCCUAAACUAGAUUCUUAGGACUUUAUGAUAUGUGGUAGUUAAGAGUAUACAGAGGGGAAGAAAUCACAUCCAGUAAGUUGUUUGCUUAACAUACUUAUCAUAGUUCUCACUUAUAAGCUAAUUUAAGCAAUUUUUUAGGUAUACAUAUUCUAAGCUAAAUCUAACAUAGCUUUAUUUUCUGAUCUCAAAGAAGAUCUUAAUUCCACUGAAAUUAUUGUUAUCAAUAUCACUGUUUCAUAUGCUUGUUAAUAUUUAGAUAUUGUGAUACCUACAUACAUAUAUACAUACAUACAUAUUUGAUAAAAUAUAGCAAUAGAUAUACCUAGAAAUACAUCUACCUUUUUUAAUGAGGCUUUAGCUCAUGGCAACUUGAGCACAAAAAAAAGGAUGACUGUAGUAUCCAUAGUCGCAAUAUACAGGAGUAAUCCUACUUCAUUGAAGUACCUUUAUGAAAGGAUAGCAUUGUACUACAUUAAGGGUCAUAAAUUAUCAUGAUACUGAUGAAUGGAUUUGUUAGAGAAAAUAAGUAAAGUGGUAUUUAGUAUGUGAGAAUCAGUUAGCACUCAAAAUUUUAUUUUUUUCACUAACUUCUGUGAAACUUUCUAUUGUUUUCUUCUGGGAUUUGACUUCUCCAUUUGGCGAGCUGUCAUUUUGACAGGGGUUAACACCAAAGAUCAUCUUUCCGGAGGGCCAUUUUACUGGCAAGCUUGAAGACAGCUGUGGUGGGAUUUGCUUCACAUUAAACCCAGUUUAGAGGAGAAUGCAGAGUCCCCCAGGUGUGUAUCUCAAGAGCACUCCACAACAAAGAUUCUGCCUGCAAUCCUCCACUUCAAGCUGCAGAGUAUGCCAUGGUGUAUAUGUGCCACAUUUUCU